rnacentral:rRNA from 1 species
AUGAACGCUGGCGGCGUGCCUAAUACAUGCCAGUCGCGCGAACAGACGAGGAGCUUGCUCCUCUGACGUUAGCGGCGGACGGGUGAGUAACACGUGGAUAACCUACCUAUAAGACUGGGAUAACUUCGGGAAACCGGAGCUAAUACCGGAUAAUAUAUUGAACCGCAUGGUUCAAUAGUGAAAGACGGUUUUGCUGUCACUUAUAGAUGGAUCCGCGCCGCAUUAGCUAGUUGGUAAGGUAACGGCUUACCAAGGCAACGAUGCGUAGCCGACCUGAGAGGGUGAUCGGCCACACUGGAACUGAGACACGGUCCAGACUCCUACGGGAGGCAGCAGUAGGGAAUCUUCCGCAAUGGGCGAAAGCUUGACGGAGCAACGCCGCGUGAGUGAUGAAGGUCUUCGGAUCGUAAAACUCUGUUAUUAGGGAAGAACACAUGUGUAAGUAACUAUGCACGUCUUGACGGUACCUAAUCAGAAAGCCACGGCUAACUACGUG